UGAGGAAUAUUGGGCAAUGGGCGAAAGCCUGACCCAGCAACGCCGCGUGAAGGAUGAAGUAUUUCGGUAUGUAAACUCCGAAAGAAUAGGAAGAAUAAAUGACGGUACUAUUUAUAAGGUCCGGCUAACUACGUGCCAGCAGCCGCGGUAAUACGUAGGGACCAAGCGUUGUUCGGAUUUACUGGGCGUAAAGGGCGCGUAGGCGGCGUGGUAAGUCAUCUGUGAAAUCUCCGAGCUUAACUCGGAACGGUCAGAUGAUACUGCUGUGCUAGAGUACAGAAAGGGCAAUCGGAAUUCUUGGUGUAGCGGUGAAAUGCGUAGAUAUCAAGAGGAACACCUGAGGCGAAGGCGGGUUGCUAGGCUGAUACUGACGCUGAGGCGCGAAAGCUAGGGUAGCAAACGGGAUUAGAUACCCAGGUAGUCCCUGAGCGGGCUGGCAAGGCGCAU
rnacentral:rRNA from 1 species